rnacentral:rRNA from 1 species
GACGAACGCUGGCGGCGUGCUUAACACAUGCAAGUCGAACGGAAAGGCCCUGCUUGCAGGGUACUCGAGUGGCGAACGGGUGAGUAACACGUGGGUGAUCUGCCCUGCACUUUGGGAUAAGCCUGGGAAACUGGGUCUAAUACCGGAUAGGAGCCAUUUUUAGUGUGAUGGUUGGAAAGUUUUUUCGGUGUAGGAUGAGCUCGCGGCCUAUCAGCUUGUUGGUGGGGUAAUGGCCUACCAAGGCGGCGACGGGUAGCCGGCCUGAGAGGGUGGACGGCCACAUUGGGACUGAGAUACGGCCCAGACUCCUACGGGAGGCAGCAGUGGGGAAUAUUGCACAAUGGGCGCAAGCCUGAUGCAGCGAAGCCGCGUGGGGGAUGACGGCCUUCGGGUUGUAAACUCCUUUCGCUAGGGACGAAGCUUUUUGUGACGGUACCUAGAUAAGAAGCACCGGCUAACUACGUG